CBAAGAAUCUUCCGCAAUGGGCNAAAGCUGACGGAGCGACACUGCGUNAAUNANGAAGGUCGAAAGAUUGUNAAAUUCUUUUAUAAAUNAGGAAUAAGCUUUGUAGGAAAUGACAAAGCNAUGACGUUAAUUUAUGAAUAAGCCCCGGCBAAUUACGUGCCAGCAGCCGCGGUAAUACGUAAGGGGCGAGCGUUGUUCAGGAUUAUUGGGCGUNAAGGGUGAGUAGGCGGAUAUAUAAGUCUAUGCAUAANAUACCACAGCUCAACUGUGGAGCUAUGUUGGAAACUAUAUGUCUAGAGUCUGAUAGAGGAAGUUAGAAUUCCUGGUGUAAGGGUGGAAUCUGUUGAUAUCAGGAAGAAUACCGGAGGCNAAGGCNAACUUCUGGGUCAAGACUGACGCUGAGUCACGAAAGCGUAGGUAGCAAACAGGAUUAGAUACCCUGGUAGUCUACGCUGUNAACNAUGCACACUUGGUGUUAA
rnacentral:rRNA from 1 species